rnacentral:rRNA from 1 species
GACGAACGCUGGCGGCGUGCUUUACACAUGCAAGUCGAACGGUGAAGGUGGAGCUUGCUCCGCCGGAUCAGUGGCGAACGGGUGAGUAACACGUGGGCAACCUGCCCCUAACUUUGGGAUAACUACUCGAAAGAGUAGCUAAUACCGGAUAUGAAGUCUGUAGGCAUCUAUGGAUUUGGAAAGUUUUUCGGUUAGGGAUGGGCCCGCGGCCUAUCAGCUUGUUGGUGAGGUAGUGGCUCACCAAGGCGACGACGGGUAGCCGGCCUGAGAGGGCGACGGGCCACACGGGGACUGAGACACGGCCCAGGCUCCUAGGGGAGGCAGCAGUGGGGAAGAUUGCGCAAUGGGCGAAAGCCUGACGCAGCAACGCCGCGUGCGGGAUGAAGGCCUUCGGGUUGUAAACCGCUUUCAGCAGGGAAGAAGCGAAAGUGACGGUACCUGCAGAAGAAGCACCGGCUAACUACGUGCCAGCCGCCGCGGUAA